rnacentral:rRNA from 1 species
AGAGUUUGAUCAUGGCUCAGAAUCAACGCUGGCGGCGCGCCUAACACAUGCAAGUCGAACGAGAAAGUGGAGCAAUCCAUGAGUACAGUGGCGUACGGGUGAGUAACACGUGGGUAAUCUACCUUUUAGUGAGGAAUAACCCUGGGAAACCGGGGCUAAUACCGCAUAAGCCUGAGAAGGGAAAGCAGCAAUGCGCUGAAAGAGGAGCCCGCGGCCGAUUAGCUAGUUGGUGAGGUAAGAGCCCACCAAGGCAGAGAUCGGUAGCCGGCCUGAGAGGGCACACGGCCACACUGGCACUGAAACACGGGCCAGACUCCUACGGGAGGCAGCAGUGGGGAAUCUUGCACAAUGGGGGAAACCCUGGUGCAGCGACGCCGCGUGAGCGAUGAAGCCCUUCGGGGUGUAAAGCUCUUUCGUCAGGGAAGAUGAUGACGGUACCUGGAGAAGCAGCUGCGGCUAACUACGUGCCAGCAGCCGCGGUAAUACGUAGGCAGCAAGCGUUGUUCGGAGUUACUGGGCGUAAAGGGUGUGUAGGCGGUUCUUUAAGUUUGGUGUGAAAUCUCCCGGCUCAACUGGGAGGGAGCGCCGAAUACUGAGGGACUAGAGUACGGGAGAGGAAAGUGGAAUUCCUGGUGUAGCGGUGAAAUGCGUAGAUAUCAGGAGGAACACCGGUGGUGUAGACGGCUUUCUGGACCGACACUGACGCUGAGACACGAAAGCGUGGGUAGCAAACAGGAUUAGAUACCCUGGUAGUCCACGCCCUAAACGAUGCAUAUUUGGUGUGGGCAGUUCAUUCUGUCCGUGCCGGAGCUAACGCGUUAAAUAUGCCGCCUGGGGAGUACAGUCGCAAGGCUGAAACUCAAAGGAAUUGACGGGGCCCGCACAAGCGGUGGAGCAUGUGGUUCAAUUCGACGCACGCGAAGAACCUUACCUGGGCUCGAACGGCUUCCCAACGGUGGUAGAAAAUAUCAUUACCCCCGCAAGGUGAU